rnacentral:rRNA from 1 species
GUGGGGAAUCUUAGACAAUGGGGGCAACCCUGAUCUAGCCAUGCCGCGUGAGUGAUGAAGGCCUUAGGGUUGUAAAGCUCUUUCAGUGGGGAAGAUAAUGACGGUACCCACAGAAGAAGCCCCGGCUAACUCCGUGCCAGCAGCCGCGGUAAUACGGAGGGGGCUAUCGUUGUUCGGAAUUACUGGGCGUAAAGCGCACGUAGGCGGAUCGGAAAGUUGGGGGUGAAAGCCCAGGGCUCAACCCUGGAACUGCCUUCAAAACUAUCGGUCUGGAGUCCGAGAGAGGUGAGUGGAAUUCCGAGUGUAGAGGUGAAAUUCGUAGAUAUUCGGAGGAACACCAGUGGCGAAGGCGGCUCACUGGCUCGGUACUGACGCUGAGGUGCGAAAGCGUGGGGAGCAAACAGGAUUAGAAACCCGAGUAGUCC